GUGGGGAAUCUUGCGCAAUGGGCGAAAGCCUGACGCAGCCAUGCCGCGUGAAUGAUGAAGGUCUUAGGAUUGUAAAAUUCUUUCACCGGGGACGAUAAUGACGGUACCCGGAGAAGAAGCCCCGGCUAACUUCGUGCCAGCAGCCGCGGUAAUACGAAGGGGGCUAGCGUUGCUCGGAAUUACUGGGCGUAAAGGGCGCGUAGGCGGACAGUUUAGUCAGAGGUGAAAGCCCAGGGCUCAACCUUGGAAUUGCCUUUGAUACUGGCUGUCUUGAGUUUGGGAGAGGUGAGUGGAACUCCGAGUGUAGAGGUGAAAUUCGUAGAUAUUCGGAAGAACACCAGUGGCGAAGGCGACUACCUGGACUGAUACUGACACUGAGGUGCGAAAGCGUGGGGAGCAAACAGGAUUAGAAACCCGAGUAGUCC
rnacentral:rRNA from 1 species